GAACACUGCAGUUCUGCAAGGACAGGGCUGCUCUGACCUUCUGCAACUGGCUCAAUUCCCUCACCUGCUGUUUAUGGAGCACACACAGUGUGACAGGAGCUUGGGCACAGUGGUACCAAAGACAGGGACGGAGCUCAGAGGCUAGUCGGAGGGAAAGACACGGAGCCGGGCAGCUAAGAGACCAAGCGACUGAAGGGCAGUACAGAAAGCACAAGACCCUGACCGAGCACAGAGAAGACACUGGACACCAGUGAGGAAGUGACAGCGAAAGGAGGACCAAAGGUUGGCCAGAGGCAGCUGCAUCCAGAGGUAGAUGAGAAAGUUUCAGGUGAAAGAACGGCGUGUGCAAAGGCCCUGAGGCAGGAGGGACAGAAGGAUUCAAGGUGAAGGCUGGAGCCACAACAGCAGACUCGCCCAGCUGGCUCCCGGCCCCCAGCCCAGCCCCGGUCCCUUCACUCGCCUCUCAGGUAGAGAUGGAGACACAGAACGCAUGCCUUCCGCCUCCUGAACAGAUGGCAGUGGUCACAGGACGUGGAUCCUGAGGGCCAGCUGCGAGGUGCUUCUGCUGACCCGACAAGUGGGACAGAUGUUGCUGGUGCUAGUUGUCCUGGGUGGGGUCCCUCAAGAUCCACCCCCUCAUCCAAAGGAGCAACUGCAAGGGGCUGAUGUCAGGAAGCUCGGCAGGGAAAGUGGGGAAGAGAGGAAGUGAGACGGGAAAGGCAGGAAGUCACGAAAGGGCAAGUCAUCGAGCACGUCACCGUGGCUGCCAACCAGAGCUGGCUCUUCUGGGGGACCCCGAGAGGCAGUGUGGAUGACCCACCCAGUUCCUCCUCGUCACUGGUGAGGGGAUCAAGCUCCCCAGCAGGCUCAAUGGGCACUCGCCUGCCCCCUGCACAUCCUUGUCUCAGAUGUUCCAGAACUUUCCGGCUCUGUA
rnacentral:lncRNA from 1 species